AAAGUAAAUAAACUCUCUUGAAUUUUGUAGCUCAGGUAGACUAGGAAUCAUGCUGCUGUAACAAAAUGCCCUAGGCUGGGUAGUUUAUCAGCAACAGAAAUCUGCACCUCCUGUUUCCUGCAGGUGGAAUUCAGCAUCAAGGUGCCCUGUGUUUCGUGUCUGGUCAGCUGCCCUCUGCUUUCCGCAGUACCUCAUGGCUGUGCCCUCGCACAGUAGCGGAGGACAGAAAGGCCCUGGGGCCUUCAGCCUCUCUGCUGACAGCACCGAUCCAUUCAUUAGGGCUCUGCGUCUCAAAGGGCCCCACCCCUUAACAGCAUCACCCUUGUGCUUAAGUUCCAGGCUUUGAAUGUUGGAGGGACACACACAUUCAAACCAUAGCACAAAGACAGGAGAGUUCUGGGGUGAGGACAGGAAAAUCCCAGAAUGUGUCACAAACACCCAUCCCUCUGUCCCAUCACCCUCCUAGAAUGUUCCCAGCACCGUUGGCCAUUGAUGGGUCUGUGAGGUGAAUGGAUGAGCACAGUUAGGUCUUCUCACUGGGGCACAAGAUCGCCUCCGCUUACUCGUCUUAGGCCUGGAAGGUGUCUGGGAGGGACCCACCAGACCGGCUGUGACGCUGCAGACACAGCCCCCUCCCCAACGGCAGGGCUGCACGUCUCGUGUGGGCCUCUCCAGCCACCCGAGCAACCGCCAGCCUUUCUUUGCUUUUUAAUCGUUGAUUUGAAACUGUUGGCCGCUGAAUUCCAGGUGCCUGCUACAGCGCCUGCUGUGUCAGUAGAGGCUUAGCCAAUCCUCAUUCAACAAAUGGCUGGAAUUUGUUCAUCUUCCAUCUGCAUCUUCGUGGAACUCAGGGUCACAGUCACGUGGGGAAGGAAGUGGACAGGCACGCGGCCUCUCUUUGCAUCUUCGCGGAACCCAGGUUCACAGUUGCGUGGAAAGGAAGUGGAGUGGACACACGGCCUCUUGAGUCCAUACCCACUCACCGUCCUUGCUGCUGUUUUGCAACCCGCUUGAUGAUUGGUCUAGAAGUUUUGAGACUGAGGUAAGUUCUUAGCCUCAGAUUCCAUCUUAUUUAAAGUUAGAAUGAAUAUUUGUCCCUCCUUUUCUUUGGGCCUCUUCUGGGCUUUGGUGUCCGCGAAUUCUCAGCUAUCAUCUGCAGUUCACAGUUCGUUCUCUGUCCUGACUCCUUUGUAACCUGGGAGGCAGUCUGCUUGGGCACAGGUCUCUAAAACUGCUCAGUAAAUCAGCUCAAGGGAAUCCAGGGAGUUCUGUCUGGCUCCUGAGUUAUGUGCCCGGUCACAGUGCUGCUGCUUUAGGGGGAGCUCCCAAGGGAGGACCAUCUGCAGCUCAGUUACGUCCUCCUGAUGUGAGCCCCCUGCCUGGCUGGGGGCUCACUCCCCCCUCUGAAGCCCUUGCUCACGCUCUGCCAGUGCCCAGGAGGUGUGGCCUCACGGAGGCCAGGGGCGAGAGGAGGCCCAGCUCUCCCCAGCUGCCGUGUCUGACGCGCUGCCUCGGAAGCACCUGUGGCCAUUGGGCGGCUUCUGCCCUGUGGCUGGUUGGCCUGUGCAGCUUCUGCUCCACGAUGUCCUUGAAUGCGUCCUUCCCAGGCUCCUAAGCAUUGGGUGUUUUUUGAGCCAUAUAGAAAUGUGAAGUUUGUGAAGAAAGAAACAUCCAAAAAGGCCAGUAAUCUGCCCCUCAGCCUCACCCCCAGGAAGGAGCCGGCCUGGUGCUUGUGGGCCCCUCCCGGGUGCAGCCUGCCCUGGCGCUAGCGAUGCCUCCGGGAUCUUCCAGAGGAAGGUGAGACAGGCAACAGGAUGGAGUAAUCGCAGCCUCUAAAAAACACAUUUCACAGCAGAUUAGGAAAACAGACGUGGCAAGAGGUGGGCCGACAGUGCGGGAGGCGGUUCCUUCCCACCGUGGGCCUUCCCGUCUGACUUUACAGCAAGGCCGCUUCCACACGGGGGUCUCCAAGCCCACCCUGGUGCCUCACUGCACGCAGGCUGAGUGCUUUCUUCCAAGGCAGACAGCGGUAAUUUAAUUUUCUCUUUUUCAGUCGUGUUCUUGUUAUUUAGAAAACACUUUUCUUUCAACAUUUGCCACAUCAGUAGAAGUAAAUUAAAACGUUCGUUACCUCACGUGUGGUUAUUUGUGUGCUGAGGAUACCCCGCUUGCUGUGCUGGACUGAGCUCUUGAGGACGGAGGCACUUCUGUUUUCUCACAGUCAUCGCCCCCGGGUGCUUCGGACACGGGAGGUGCUCAGUGAACGGUGGCGCGGGGGAUGGCUGAGUGGCAGUUGUGUCUGCAGGGCAGAGUCAUAUCGGAAUGUACAAGCGCAACUGGAUAUGCAGACUUUUAUUCCUGGAGGCUACAGUCUGGUCCCUCAAUGACCCCACACCCCCCACAAUUAUUUACAAAAUUCCAUUUGACGUAAACUGGAGUCAGGAGGGGGGUCUAGUCGCGGCUGUGGUUUACCCAGUGACACGUAGAUGUUCAAGGUCCCAGAUAUGGUAAAAGCACAACUAGGAAAUUUAAGUUUUGGGGCCUCACAAUAAAAUGGCAGAUGGUUAACAUCAUCAGCUCUUCCAAAUCUCACUAAAAUGCUCAGGAAGACGCAAAGAGGAGACACGGCCCUCCUACUAAGGAAGGUUCCGCUAAUCUCGGACUGACUCCUAAUGAAGAGAUGGCUGGUCCUGGACUGGAGAACAUGGCACAGAACCGGGCAGCCUCUGCGCCCUGAGGUCCACGUCUGCCCCCGAGAGAGCAGCUCCUCCAAGCAGUGGGUGCUGCCCUGGGCGACAGCACCACCGUCCAUCAGCACCUCUGGCCUCCCAUCCUCUUGGAGACUCAACACCAGGAACACCCCGCAGGUGGUGAAAUGCCAAAAUGUAAUUUCGCCAGAAAUAAUCUCUGAAGAUACAGAGAUUAGCAUAGUCACACACAGUCCUGAAUGCGGAAGUAGGCUUUUUAAAAUAGUUUAUUUAGAAUAUCUGAGAGACAGUGAAGCCUGGGAGAGAAGAUGCUGCUUUAGCUGAGCUGAUCUGUCCUGGAAAAGCAUCUGCCUGGACAGGACUGUAGACAGUCCCCACUCGCUCCAGGGAGUAGACAAGAGGAAGGGUGCACCCGGCCCUGUCCCCACUCCAGUGUGUAGACGAGAGCCAGGGUCCACCCCGCCCUGCUUGUUGGCAGCCCGUCUGGAGAGGACCCCAUGACAGAGGCGGUGCCGCGGAACGAAUCAUCGCACAGCAGCAAAGGUAGGAGGGAGGGGCCCGAGCCGCACAGACGGCGCAGUUCAGCGGAGCAGGAGGUGCAGGCGGCGUGGCUUCAGGGAAAGGAGUGGAAAGCUAGAGGAGAGCACGGGAGGAGCAUCAAAGGCCGGGAGAAUGGGGCAAAGCAAGACAAGUAAGGACGCUUAAGAAUCAAGGAAAUGCCUUUCAUUUUUCCUUUUUUUUUUUUUUUUGAGACAGAGUUUCACUCUCCUUGUCCAGGCUGGAGUGCAAUGGCGCAAUCUCGCCUCACCGCAACCUCCGCCUCCCAGGUUCAAGCGAUUCUUCUGCCUCAGCCUCCCAAGUAUCUGGGAUUACAGGCAUGUGCCACCACACCUGGCUAAUUUUGUAUUUUUAGUAGAGACGGGGUUUCUCCAUGUUGAUCAGGCUGGUCUCGAACUCCCAACCUCAGGUGAUCUGCCUGCCUCGGCCUCCCAAAGUGCUGGGAUUACAGGCAUGAGCCACCGCACCCGGCCAAGUCGAGCGUUUUUAAAAUUUUAUUUAUUUUUGAGACAGAGUCUCACUCUGGUGUGAUCUUGGCUCACUGCAGCCUCUGCCUCCCAGGUUCAAGUGAUUCUCGUGCUCCAGCCUCCCAAGUACCUGGGAUGACAGGUGUGCACCACCACACUUGGCUGAUUUUUGUAUUUUUAAUAGAGAUGGGGUUUUGCCAUGUUGGCCAGGCUGGUUCUUGAACUCCUGACCUCAAGUGAUCCACCCACCUUGGCCUCCCGAAGUGCUGGGAUUCCAGGUAUGAGCAACUGUGCCUGGCCUAAGAUUCCAGGUGUGAGCACCACACCCAGCCUCUAUAUGAUUCCAGGUGUGAUAACUGCACCGGGACCAGCCUCUAUAUGAUUCCAGGUGUUCUAUAUGAUUCCAGGUGUGAUACACUGCACGGGGACCAGCCUCUAUAUGAUUCCAGGUGUGAGCCACCAUGCCAGGCCUCUCUAGGAUUCCAGGUGUGAGCACCGUGCCCAGCCUAUGUAUGAUUCCAGUUGUGAGCUACUGCAUCUGGCCCAGCCCAUCUGAUCUUGCAUGUUGUCCACGUUUUCCAUCACAGCCUUUAAUGUGUCAGUCAUAGUUAUUUAAAAUCCCCUUUCAAAUAGUUCCAGCAUCUGAGUCAUAUCUGUGUCUUGUUCUGAUGGUGGUUUUGUCUCUUGGGAAUGUGGUUUUAUUCUUGCUUUUUUUCUAUGUUACUUAAGCAUUUUGGUUGAAUGCUUGACCUGUUUUAUGGACAGUAGAGAGGGAGGUAAAUCAUUGUCUUUUAUUUUUUGGCCUGGAUGUGGCUGUGCCUUUCCUUCUACUUGGCAGGGACCCUGCCCCAUCAUCAGGCACAGCCGGGAUCCUGGCAGGUCCCUGGGUGAUGGCACCAAGCCAGGUCUCAAAGGACAAGUGGGAGUGAAGCAAAGAUGGGCAGGGAGUCUGCGGGAGGCACAGGGAGAGGGGGACGCACAGCCAGGCCUGGAGCUGCAGGUGCCGGGAGCGUGAGCUGGAGGCCCAGGGCCACAAGGAGAGACUGGGCGUGUUCCUACCAGCCACAGGAAGGUGCUGGAGCCCCAGGGCAUGCUGGCCUCUGUCCUGGCACCUGUGUGGGAGGUACACAGUUUGGGGAGUGCUUGGGUACUGAGAGGUGUCAAGUGAGAGGGCAGGGAGCAGAGAAGUGAACUGGUGGUUCUUCCUGGGCUCCUCUGAGUCUUCACCCCUCUAACUCCCUCUGGGGCUCACCUGGCAUUGGGGCUGCCUGAGGCUGAGCUGGCACCGGUUCUGAGAAGCUGAAGGAGCGUGUUCUUCUCCAGUGUGUCCAUGGGAAGCUCCUCCUACCUCCCUGCAUCCAAGGCCUGGCCUUUGCCCUGGGUGCUGUGCCUCGGGGGAGGUGAGGGCUUCCAGGGAGUUUUAGAGGGAUGUGUUCUGGAGCCUCGGUGUUGACACCCCCUGGGAAUAGAAUCGCCCUGGGUUGAGGCAUCCUCCAGACCCGCCUUUCCUGCUGCAAAGCUCUCACCACCACCAAACCUCACGGGCGUGCAUCACCCAUGGUGGGUGUGAAACUCACGGGGCCCGAAGCCAUGGUACGUGGCAAGGUCGCGGUGGAAAUCCACGUGGGAAGAGGAGCAGAAGAAUCCACCAGCAGAAGAAGAGCCCAGAGGGGCUUCCGAGGAGGGUGCGGUAAACACGCACGCUGGCACCUGUGGGAUGCGCUAGAGUCACAUGUUGUGGGGGAUGGGAAUCCUCAAAGUGGGCAGGUUCCUCCCACCUUCUGUCCAGAGCAGUUUCUCAGGAGGUUCCCCAGUGAGCACGGGAGGAGCAGCUCCCAUCCCAGUGUGUCCCACACAAGCAAAGGGUUCCAGGGAAAAAGUGGACAUCCCGCCUACCUGAAUUGGUAUUUUUAGCUUUUCUUCUCCAUGGCUAAGGGGGUGCAAGAAGCUUCCUAGGUCUGGGUUAGAGAAGGUCUCUUCCAUGGCUGAGAUGGGGUCUCCAAUGCCAGUUGGAGUUUUUGCUCUUUAAGGAGGUGGUUUUGGUGGGCUCUUUACAGCCUGACAGUAAAAGCAGAAAAGUAAACUAGAUACUUAAAAAAAAAGUCCUAAGGGAAUAAGAAGGAGCCUUGAACUGUGGACAGGGAGAAAAGGAGGGUGAACCCCCAGCCGCAUCGUAAGACAGAAUCCGCACCUUCAUAUUGUGUGGACAGGGAGAAAAGGAGGGUGAACCCCCAGCCGCAUCGUAAGACAGAAUCCGCACCUUCUUAUUGCACAGCGUGGGCUCAGCCUGAGGGGACUCUCCUCAGCACCCUUCAGGACCCACCACACCUUCCACCUCCCAGGCUGCGCCCCCUUGAAACUCCGUGAGCCUCAGCGCCUGCUGUGCACGGUGGCGAGUCCAGGGGCCACUGCCUUGGGCUCCUGUCCAGCCUCUGCCAGCAUCACGCUCCCCCAUCCUUCCCACCUGUGCAAUGCCAGCCCAGGUGGCAUCCGCACCCAUGGGCUAACAGGACAGGGCGCCCUGUGGCCAGACAGACCCUGGUGGGAAUUCUCAGCACCUGUAGCUGCUCCUACCCUCCUCGCCCUCCUCUCCUGAAUUGAGUGACACUGAGCUGACCCACAUGUGGCUGCUCCUACCCUCCUCGCCCUCCUCUCCUGAAGUGAGUGACACUGAGCUGACCCACAUGUGGCUGCUCCUACCCUCCUCGCCCUCCUCUCCUGAAUUGAGUGACACUGAGCUGACCCACAUGUGGCUGCUCCUACCCUCCUCGCCCUCCUCUCCUGAAUUGAGUGACACUGAGCUGACCCACAUGUGGCUGCUCCUACCCUCCUCGCCCUCCUCUCCUGAAUUGAGUGACACUGAGCUGACCCACAUGUGGCUGCUCCUACCCUCCUCGCCCUCCUCUCCUGAAUUGAGUGACACUGAGCUGACCCACAUGUGGCUGCUCCUACCCUCCUCGCCCUCCUCUCCUGAAGUGAGUGACACUGAGCUGACCCACAUGUGGCUGCUCCUACCCUCCUCGCCCUCCUCUCCUGAAUUGAGUGACGCUGAAUUCUAAAGUCUAAAGUCACUUGGCUUAUUUUACUUAUGCAGGUUAGAAUAAAGUAAUUCUCUUAAAUAUGAUGGUAUUAUUUAAAAACUAUAAAGUGAGAUCAUAGUACAAGGUUCCUGCUCACAUUGUACUUGGAUACAAAUAUAACCUAUCAUAAUCCCAGCACUUUGGGAGGCCAAGACAGGGGGUUGCUUGAGCCCAGAGUUUGAGACCAGUCUGGGCAACAUGGCAAGACCCUAUCUCUACAAAAAAAUGUACCUGGGGGUGGAUGGUGGCACACACCUCUAGUCCCAGCUACUCAAGAGGGCUGAGGUAGGAGAAUGGUUUGAGCUGGAGAGGUUGAGGCUUCAGGAAAGUAGCUUACAUAUGUGUGUGUGUGUAUAUAUGUUACAUAUGUGUGUGUUACAUAUAUGUGUAAUAAGUACCUGAUGCAUCGUAGGUUAUAUAUAUAUGUUAUAUAUAUAUGUCUAAAAAUUAGCUUGGGGAAGGUGGUGAAUGGCAUAUAUGUUAUAUAUAUGUCUAAAAAUUAGCUUGGGGAAGGUGGUGAAUGGCAUAUACAUACAAGCAUACAUGUAUAUUUGUAUAAAACCUAUUGCUGUGGGUGGCUGUGUCCCCACCCAAAUCUCAUCUUGCAGCCUAUCUCCUGUAAUCCCCACAUGUUUUCAGAGGGAUCUGGUGGGAAGUAACUGAAUCGUGGGGGCAGGUUUUUCCCGUGCUGUUCUCGAGAUAGUGAGUAAGUCUCACGUGAUCUGUUGGUUUUAUUAAGGGUGGUUCCUCUGCACACACGCUCCUGUCUGCACCUUGGAAGAUGUGCCUUUGCUUCUCCUUUGCCUUUGGCCAUGAUUGUGAGGACUCCCCAGCCAUGUGGAACUGUUGUGAUGCCACAAAGCAAAUGAAGAGGCGAGAAGGCGACAGGGCUUGGAGCCGGAACCUCAGCUUGAUGCCCAGAUCUGCGGAGCAGCCCUGUCCCCAGGCAAGCCUGGCCGCCCACCAGAGCGCAGCGGCUGCUGGCUCCCUUGCCUCUGUGAGAGGCCGGCUCUCCGCACCCACCUGGGGCUGUCAGUGCCCUGAUGACUCCAGGAUGGCCCUCCCGAAGUGUCAUGAAAACUCAGAGGCCUGAGGCCCAGCACAGGGUGACCGACACUGGCGCCUCUGAUGGUCCAAGCUGAACCCACGUGGAGGAGAGAGGACAGUCGCCCACCACUCCGAGACACGCCUGUGGGUCACCAAGUGCGCCGGUGCCCCUCACCUUGGUGUUCAUGACGGUUCAGGUGACUGUCCGGAAGUGUGUUGGUCAUUGUGUUUGGAAGGAUUAAUUGGAAAUGGCGUUUUCUCUAAAUUUUUCUCUCUCAAACCUUUUGUUAAUGUGUGUGAUUCCAUUGGGAGGAUCCCAUGGGGGAGGGCUGUCUGGUCUCCAGGAUGGGAAAAUGCCUGCUCCUCUAAAAGAAAAGUCCAUGCUUGGCUCAUCAGGCUGCAGAGUUAAUUAAGCAGAGGGCUCUCCCUCCCCUAGAGAGGGGAGAAUGGCCUGGCCCUGCCUUUGGCCCUCUCCUGCAGCUGAGACAGGACCCUCCUCCUUGAAGGAUGACUGCCUUUUCUCCAUAUUUCACAAUAAAGCCCCGGAGGGAAAGGAUUGGGUCUUACCCCGUGGUGCCCUCAGAGAUAUCUGGAGCUACAGAUGGAGUUUCCCUAAGGACUAAAGAGUGGCUGGACUCGACAUGUGAACCAGAAGAGUUCCAUACAAGCUCUGGGCUCAGCCAGAGCAGGGCAGACAAGGGUCACAGGAUGAAGAGGACAGAGGGCAGAGAGACGACCGGAUGGGAUGACCAGCUGCAGAGAGGAGUACCCUCUCCACUGAGAACAGCAGAAGGCAAGACAACCUGUCCACAGAGAGGAGCUACCCUCUCUGCUGAGAGCUUCAGAGACCUGCAGAGACGUCUGAAUGACCUGCCUGCAGAGAGCAGCCUCCCUCUCUGGGGCCUCCUCUCUGCUGAAAGCUGAACACUCGAGAGACGACCUGCCUACGAGAGGAGCCACCCACUCCUCUGAGCUGUUCUGACACUAAAUACAACUUUUCUUCUUCACCCUUCACUUGUCUGCGUACCUCAUUCUUCCUAGACGCAGGACAAGAACUCUGGCAAAGGCGCUGCAGCCACAGAGGUUUCCGGCCGGAAAAGUCGGCACCCCAGAGAUCCCAUGAGAACGUCACGUGCAGCACUGAGACGGAGCCCUAAUGAAAACUGUGGCUCUGGGUGAUAAUGACGUGUUACUGUGGGUUCAUCAGCUGUAGCAAAUUCGCCCUCUGCUGGGGGUUGUUGGAAAUGCAGAGGCUCUGGGGGUGGGGGUGGGGGUCAGGUAUGUGGGAGCUCUCUGUACCUUUCUUGUAAUUUGAUGUGAACUUAAAGCUGCUCCAAAAAGAUAAAAUCUUGAAGAAAAGAGAAAAAAAAAAAAAAGGAAGAGAGGAAAAAAUGACAGGCAGAAGGUCACGCCUGGCCCCUCAGUGCACGUCCUCAGGCCUCUGCUCCCAGCUGGGGCUGGCAGGCGGUCGGGGGGGCACCCAGCUCCUCCACUCCCCACGCCCACCACAGCUUUCAAAGUUAGGAACGCAGGCAGGGUGGAGGUGAAGUCCGAACAGAAGGAGGAGACUUAAGGGAGGGCGAGCCCUGACUUUGUUUCGUUUUUCUGAGGCGACAUUCGGUGCAGCUUUCUGGGUCCCCAAGGCUGACCCUGCUGCACCAUGAACCACACGUCCACACCCUCACUGUCUCCCGCUCAUGACACCAGCUCACCUGAGACUGUCACCGAAGGCUCUUUAACGUGAAAUGAGUGGUUUUAACUAUUUUUAAGUACACAGUUGUGUGGCAUUAAGUGCAUUCACUAUGAUGUGUGGCCAUCACCAUCGUCCACCCUAGAACCCCUUCAUUUUCCCCAACAAAUUCUGUCCCUUUAAGCAAGUGCUCCCCAUCCCCCACCCCCUCUUACCUUCUGUCUCUGUGAAUCUGAUGACCGUCAGCCUCUGAGCACAGUCAUACACCAUCGUGGGCCUUUUGUGUCUGGCUUACUUCACCGAGCAUAAUGUCCUCAGGGUUCAUCCGCAUUGUGGCAGGUGCCAGAAUCCCCUUCCUUUUUUAAAGGCUGAAUAAUGCUUUACUGUAUGGGUAGACCACAUUUUGUUUAUGCAUUCAUCCGUUAACGGACGCUUGGGUUGGACCAUGUUUAGUGGGUGUGAAUAAGGCUGCCCUAAACACGGGUGCACAGGCAUCUGCCCAAGUCCCUGCUCUCAGUUCUUUUUGAGAAAUACCCAAAAGUGAAAUUGCUGGGUCAUAUGGCAGUUCUAUUUUCAAGGUUUUGAGGAGCCGCCAAACUGUCUUCCCCAGCGGCUGCCCUGUUUUACAUCCCCUCAAGCAAUGUAAAGGGUCCCGGUGUCCUCACGUCCUCCAGUUUCUCCACAUCCCGAGAACUUGCUGUCUUCUAUUUUUGAUACUUGUUACCCUAAUGGCUGUGAGGUGGCACCUCAUUGUGGUUUUGAUUUGAAUUUCCCUAAUGACCUGUGAUAGUGAGCAUCUUUUCAUGGGUUUAUUGGCCAUUUGUAUGUCUUCUCUGAAGAAAUUGUCUAUUCAAGUCCUUUGACCAUUUUUGAAUCGAGCUGUUUGUUUUUUUGUUGUUGAGUUGUGGGGGUUCUUUAUACAUUACUGAAGGCUUAUUUUUAUGGUCCAAUAAUUCUUUACAGCACUGGGUGCUCGCUAGCCAGAUGCCGCGAUUAUUUAUGGCCUGGGACUGCGGGUACACAUGUCUCCAUUUGGAGGCUCAGCCAACGUUUCUAGGUCUGUUAACUUGAAUUCAUCUUUUAAAUUGAAAAAAGAUUUAUUUUCCUCCUUAUAACAGUCAAAUCUCCGCCUUUCGUGUUUCCAGGGCCAAGUACUAUCUGGGGGUAAAAUGUUAAAGCUCAGUGAGAAAUCCCUGGAUACACGGAGGUUACAUUUCAAAGGCCAGACCCCUGGUGAGGGCAGAAUAAUAGUGUCAUAAAUGGCGAUGUUGUAUUGUGCAGCUGAUAAAUUGAGUAAAUAUUUGCUAAAAGCCAGGAAACCCCCACAGCAAUAAGGACAAAUGAUGUUCAUCAAAAUGGCAGCUGUUUACUCAAGAAUUAGGCAGAACCCGCGGCGGGAUGGACACUUGGACGUGCUCUCGGGACGGGCUGGCCAGGAAAGCUGGAGCUGCAGAUGGAGCUGGGAACCUCGCCCUGUCCUGAAACCCAAGGGAAAAUCAGACUCCGAGGCACCAGUCGCCCUAAACCACCACAGACGGGGUUUCUACCUUCCUAGGAAUAAGAGUGGAAUAUGCACCUGGGGGUGCAGCUUCGCCUUCCGCACAAGGGUCAGCACCAAUGUUUCCCUGAGAUUCUCAGAGACCCAGGGCGCUGCCACCAGCGGCCUCCUGCCUCCCUGGAGCUCUUACCUCCCGCUCCCUCUCUCUGUCCAGGUGCUUACUUCUGGGAACUAAUCACUCAGUUUGUCUGAUUUUUUACUUUUAAAUCUCUUUCAAACCAUUAGUGCCUUUACAGCUUCUUGUAGCCACCGUCAGAGCCAGGCAGCAGGAGAGGAGGAGGCUUGGACUGUGGUGCAGAAAACCCUGUCCAGCCUCACUUGCCUUGGGAAGGCUUUGAAAGGAUCAUUUAUACGCUGGAGGAUUCCAUGAAGACUUUUUUUGGCCACCCUGAAUGGUUCAAGGUUCACCCUGUCUCUGUGAGGCUUGGCCUUGCCUUCUUUCAUCAAAAGAAAAACAGAAGCCAAGGCUGAGGCCUUGCUGACCGGUCCCUCCCGAGUCCCUUCCUAACUGGAAACGAUGAUUCAGUCCAGAACUCCGCCUGCUCAGUCCCUGCUGUAAACUUCGUGGCUCUCUUUAAGUGCUGCUAGAUGCCAAGCCAGGGAGACAGCCUGUAUCAUCAGUGCAGUCGCCCUGGGGGUGACACCAGGGAUGAUUAUGUAAAUUCUCAUAAAACCCACAGGCAAGUUUUGCUGCGGCCCGGCCUCCAGAGUCCUCCUGGUUGUAAGGGAAAGCACGAACUUGAGCGUGAAGACUCCAAAGCAGAAAAAAAGCAGAGCUCAGGAGGAAGCCCGCAGGGAAGGCCAAACCCUCCUGUGUGUGGAGUGGAGGUCAGGCUGGGGCGGGCGGCCACAGCUCCCCACCCCGGCCGCACCCCCGCCCGCAGAUCUGACAGAUGCAGGCCCCACUGCACCUGACAGUGCCGUGCUCGAAUUGCUCACUCAGCAAUGACAUAUUGGUGACCUGCCGGCACCAGGCACUGUGGACAACGCGUGGGGAGCACUGAGCAGGGCUACCUGCAGAAGGCCUGGAAGCUCACCUUGGGCCAACUGGCAACAGGUCACGUGGCCUCUCUUAAUUAAUCUAAUUUCCUACAAGGCAGCCAGGGGUUAUUCCAGGCAAACCUGAAUUCCUGUGUGGAACCUCAGGUGCCAACACCUGCACAUGUAAGCGGCAUCCAGGCUGCACCCCGGAGCCCAACCCUGGACCCCUUUGGGAUGGCGAGACCCUGGGCCUCACCCUUCUCACCUCUGAGUGAGGCUUCUCCCUUGAGCCUGUUCCUUGUACCCUACCCAGAUGUUUUGGUAUUUUUCUGUACCCACAUCUCCACAUACACAGUGGCACUUCUCACCAAGGACUUGUAAUCACAGAAAGCGAUGGACAGAGGCAGACGCAGCAAGGGUGAUGGGAGCUGGCGGAGAAGAUGGUCCAGGGUGCAGGGGCACCGCAGAGGUGGUGAUAUCACCUCAGGGUCCAAGACGUGCUUCCUAGGGGCCCCCUGGCGGUCUCCAGGAUGAGGGGUGGCCAGUGUGGGAGAACCCCAGGCAAAGGGGGCCACGAGAAAGGAGUGGCAGACAUUGACAGUGGAAGGUCUGCGGGGACGUGGGGGAGGUGUGCCAGGUGGGGAGGGGCCGCAGGCAAGGCCACAGUGUCCGGAUGGUCCUGUGGAGGAAGGGAGCCCCCAAACACAUUCACGUAGGGCAGUGCUGUGGGCAGAUGCAAAUUUUCAGAGUGUUCGCUGGAGAUGGAUGGGGCCGGACCACCCCCAAGUCUCAGGAGAAGUCACGGGGGAGGAGACUCUGGGACUCUGGGUUCAGGUAAAUACUUUGGGUUUGGCGUUGAUGCUCCUUUUGGGCAAUCUGUAGACUGAGUGAUGCCUGUCUCCCUGUCCACUCCCUUCCCACCCUUGUGAUUAUCCAUCAGUAUUUAUGGGCCUGGCUGGUCAGACCAAGCAGGCCACAGCACAGCAUGGAGCUCUAGGCCUCUGUGCGUCUCUGGUGUUUGGAUCCUAGGACCUGAGGGUCCAGGGGAGAAGUCGUCUGGGGGUUGGGAGGCUCAGGGAAGAGGCUGCUUCCUGCUGUGGACUUGAUUAGCAGCCCCACGGACAGUCACUGGACUGUUAGCGAGGCAGGAGUCCAGAGGAGCCAGGGUGACACCAUUUUAAAAUCAGCACCGUCUUAAACUAGCAAGGCACACUCCUUGCCACACACAAGCCAUGGUCCUAAGAUGUUUACAGCUAAGGAAGCAGCUUGGUGAUGCCUGCAAAGCAAACUCCAAGAACAUAAAGUCCAGACGUCCAAUACCCAUAAUUAGGUCUAUGCUUUCAAGAUAGUAAGAGUCAUGCUAUGAUGACUGACAUGCUAAAAUGUCAAGGAUGGUUUUCUUUAAACCAAUAGAAUGAUAAACUUUGUCAUGCUCUCUGCUCAGCUGCACGUAUGCACAGCUUCACUUCGCUUUGCAGACAAGACUCCGGUGUAAGAAAAAUGGAAAAAGAAGUUGGUGUGUCCUCUGCCUGCUUUCUGCUCCGUAACAGAGUCGUUUCUAAUAAACGUGCCUCUUUCACUGUGCUCUGUGACUGGCCUUGAAUUCCCUCUUGUGUGAGCUCCAAGAAGCCUCUCUUGGGGUAGAGACCCCCUCUUCCAGGAACAGGACCACCUCUCACUUCCCCUAGACCCAAAGGGUGACCAAGAGACCGGCUGCAGGGCUUGUGUGGGAAAGUCUUCUUUUUGAGUGAACCUGGGAGUAAACACUCCUGCUGGAGUGGGAAAGUCUUCUGUUCGAGUCAGCCUGGGAGUAACACUCCUGCUUGAGUGGGAAAGUCUUCUGUUUGAGUGAGCCUGGGAGUAAACACUCCUGCUCGAGUGGCUCGCUCAUGGGUUUCUGCAAGGAACGUCUUUGAAAUAUUUGGCAGAUCUAAGGCUGAAUACAGACCAUUCACCAAAACGCUUUCUAAAACCUAUCUGGAGUUUUCACAAAACUCCAGAUUUUGUGAAUAAAUUUAAAUGGUGUUGCGGAGUCCUGACCACAGAAUAUUGUUUUAGAAGCAAGUUUUGAGCUUUGGUCUGAUGUGCUGAUUUUUCCAGCAAGGACACGGAAGCCACAUUUGUGAUGAACUCCGAGCCAUGUCCACCCCUCUGGGGCCAGGCCAGCCUGAAGCCAUCUCACUGGCUCUCCAGCUGCCAGAAAUGGAGGCUAGCUUCUGAUACCAAAGUUCCACACCAGGAUAUCAAGAGCAGCCCUGCUUACACUAGUGAAAAAUUAGACAGGAUCUAAGUGUCCCACACUGAGGAAAGAGAUGAACUCCAGCACAAGUGUAUUACUCUGUUUUCAUGCUGCCAAUAAAGACAUACCUGA